AGCGAACGCUGGCGGCAGGCCUAACACAUGCAAGUCGAACGAACCUUUCGGGGUUAGUGGCGGACGGGUGAGUAACACGUGGGAACGUGCCUUUAGGUUCGGAAUAACUCAGGGAAACUUGUGCUAAUACCGAAUGUGCCCUUCGGGGGAAAGAUUUAUCGCCUUUAGAGCGGCCCGCGUCUGAUUAGCUAGUUGGUUGAGGUAAUGGCUCACCAAGGCGACGAUCAGUAGCUGGUCUGAGAGGAUGAUCAGCCACAUUGGGACUGAGACACGGCCCAAACUCGUACGGGAGGCAGCAGUGGGGAAUCUUGCGCAAUGAGCGAAAGCCUGACGCAGCCAUGCCGCGUGAAUGAUGAAGGUCUUAGGAUUGUAAAAUUCUUUCACCGGGGACGAUAAUGACGGUACCCGGAGAAGAAGCCCCGGCUAACUUCGUG
rnacentral:rRNA from 1 species